rnacentral:tRNA from 1 species
UAAAAAAUAAGCUAAUAAAGCUAUUAGGUUCAUACCCUUAUUAUAAAGGUUUUAGUCCUUUUUUUUUAA